GCCGACCCUGGGCGUCUGGGUGCUUGUCCUGCCCUAGCAGGACUCUGAUGGGGAACAGGAGGACUCGCCUGCAGCGCGUGCCCGGCAGCAGCUAGAGGCAUUGCUCAACAAGACCAUGCGUAUUCGUAUGACAGACGGAAGGACACUAGUCGGCUGCUUCCUGUGCACCGAUCGUGACUGUAAUGUCAUCCUGGGCUCUGCGCAAGAAUUCCUCAAGCCUUCUGAUUCAUUUUCUGCGGGGGAACCCCGUGUGCUGGGUCUCGCCAUGGUACCAGGACACCACAUCGUUUCUAUUGAAGUCCAAAGGGAGAGUCUGUCGGGGGGCCCGUAUCUCUGACCACGAUUGCACUUCUCUUUGAGACCAUUAAACCCUAUGACCAAA
rnacentral:lncRNA from 1 species